AUGUGCGGCAGGGAUAAGCGCUGAAGGCAUCUAAGCGCGAAGCCCCCCUCAAGAUGAGAUUUCCCAUUCGAAAGAAGUAAGACCCCUGAUAGACUAACAGGUUGAUAGGUCUGAGGUGUAAGAGCGGCAACGCUUUCAGCUGACAGAUACUAAUAGGUCGAGGGCUUGAUCAA
rnacentral:rRNA from 1 species